GUAGCUGUGGUGUACCGGAGGUGCACGCCAGAUUGUGGCUCUGGAAGGCGCGGGUUCGACUCCCCGUGGCUACCCCA
rnacentral:tRNA from 1 species